UACGUAGGAUGCUAGCGUUGUCCGGAUUUACUGGGCGUAAAGCGCGCGCAGGCGGCACUGUAAGUAAGGUGUGAAAUCUCCCUGCUCAACGGGGAGGGUGCACUUUAGACUGCAGAGCUAGAGGACGGUAGAGGGGGUGGAAUUGCUGGUGUAGCGGUGAAAUGCGUAGAGAUCAGCAGGAACACCCGUGGCGAAGGCGGCCCCCUGGGCCGAACCUGACGCUGAGGCGCGAAGGCUAGGGGAGCGAACGGG
rnacentral:rRNA from 1 species